rnacentral:rRNA from 1 species
CAUCCUCCAAGGCUAAAUACUCCUGACUGACCGAUAGUGAACCAGUACCGUGAGGGAAAGGCGAAAAGAACCCCGGCGAGGGGAGUGAAAAAGAACCUGAAACCGUGUACGUACAAGCAGUGGGAGCACAGGUUUACCUGUGUGACUGCGUACCUUUUGUAUAAUGGGUCAGCGACUUAUAUUCUGUAGCAAGGUUAACCGUAUAGGGGAGCCGUAGGGAAACCGAGUCUUAACCGGGCGUUAAGUUGCAGGGUAUAGACCCGAAACCCGGUGAUCUAGCCAUGGGCAGGUUGAAGGUUGGGUAACACUAACUGGAGGACCGAACCGACUAAUGUUGAAAAAUUAGCGGAUGACCUGUGGCUGGGGGUGAAAGGCCAAUCAAACCGGGAGAUAGCUGGUUCUCCCCGAAAGCUAUUUAGGUAGCGCCUCGUGAACUCAUCUCCGGGGGUAGAGCACUGUUUCGGCUAGGGGGCCAUCCCGGCUUACCAACCCGAUGCAAACUGCGAAUACCGGAGAAUGUUAUCACGGGAGACACACGGCGGGUGCUAACGUCCGUCGUGAAGAGGGAAACAACCCAGACCGCCAGCUAAGGUCCCAAAGUCAUGGUUAAGUGGGAAACGAUGUGGGAAGGCCCAGACAGCCAGGAUGUUGGCUUAGAAGCAGCCAUCAUUUAAAGAAAGCGUAAUAGCUCACUGGUCGAGUCGGCCUGCGCGGAAGAUGUAACGGGGCUAAACCAUGCACCGAAGCUGCGGCAGCGA